GGGGCAUAGGUGGUCUGGGUGCAGAGUUUGCUGAUAUAUUUAGAAGAGCUUUUGCGUCUCGUGUAUUUCCACCUCAUGUCACGAGCAGAUUGGGGAUAAAGCACGUUAAGGGAAUGCUUCUUUUUGGACCUCCUGGUACAGGAAAAACCCUUAUGGCACGGCAAAUUGGAAAGAUGCUGAAUGGAAAGGAUCCAAAGAUCGUUAAUGGUCCUGAGGUGCUGAGCAAGUUUGUUGGUGAGACAGAAAAUAAUGUAAGAGACUUAUUUGCUGAUGCUGAGCAAGACCAGAGGACCCUUGGUAAG